rnacentral:rRNA from 1 species
GAGUUUGAUCUUGGCUCAGGAUGAACGCUAGCUGGAGGCUUAAUACAUGCAAGUCGAGCGGCAGCGCGGGGCAACCUGGCGGCGAGCGGCGAACGGGUGAGUAAUGCAUCGGAACAUGUCCUGUCGUGGGGGAUAGCCCGGCGAAAGCCGGAUUAAUACCGCAUACGUCCGAGAGGAGAAAGUGGGGGACCGCAAGGCCUCACGCGAUUGGGUUGGCCGAUGUCCGAUUAGCUAGUUGGUGGGGUAAAGGCCCACCAAGGCGAUGAUCGGUAGCUGGUCUGAGAGGAUGGAUCAGCCACACCUGGGACUGAGACACGGCCCAGACUCCUACGGGAGGCAGCAGUGGGGAAUUUUGGACAAUGGGGGCAACCCUGAUCCAGCCAUUCCGCGUGAGUGAAGAAGGCCUUCGGUUGUAAG